rnacentral:rRNA from 1 species
UUGGAGGGCAAGUCUGGUGCCCAGCCGCGGUAAUUCCAGCUCCAAUAGCGUAUAUUAAAGUUGUUGCAGUUAAAAAGCUCGUAGUUGAGUUUCGGGGUUAGUAGAUUGGUCAUGCCUCUGGUAUGUACUGGUCUCACUGAUUCCUCCUUCCUGAUGAUCCGUAAUGCCAUUAAUUUGGUGUUGCGGGGAAUUUGGACUGUUACUUUGAAAAAAUUAGAGUGUUUAAAGCAAGCUAACGCUUGAAUACAUUAGCAUGGAAUAAUGAAAUAGGACGUUCGAUCCUACUUUGUUGGUUUCUAGGAUUGACGUAAUGAUUAAUAGGGAUAGUUGGGGGCAUUAGUAUUCAAUUGUCAGAGGUGAAAUUCUUGGAUUUAUUGAAGACUACUACUGCGAAAGCAUUUGCCAAGGAUGUUUUCAUUAAUCAAGAACGAAAGUUAGGGGAUCGAAGACGAUCAGAUACCGUCGUAGUCUUAACCAUAAACUAUGCCGACUAGGGAUCGGAUGAUGUUAAUUUUAUAAUGACUCAUUCGGCGCCUUACGGGAAACCAAAGUGUUUGGGUUC